UACGUAGGUGGCAAGCGUUAUCCGGAUUUAUUGGGCGUAAAGGGAACGCAGGCGGUCUUUUAAGUCUGAUGUAAAAGCCUUCGGCUUAACCGGAGUAGUGCAUUGGAAACUGGGAGACUUGAGUGCAGAAGAGGAGAGUGGAACUCCAUGUGUAGCGGUGAAAUGCGUAGAUAUAUGGAAGAACACCAGUGGCGAAAGCGGCUCUCUGGUCUGUAACUGACGCUGAGGUUCGAAAGCGUGGGUAGCAAACAGG
rnacentral:rRNA from 1 species